rnacentral:rRNA from 1 species
UGGGGAAUCUUAGACAAUGGGGGCAACCCUGAUCUAGCCAUGCCGCGUGUGUGAUGAAGGCCCUAGGGUCGUAAAGCACUUUCGCCAGAGAUGAUAAUGACAGUAUCUGGUAAAGAAACCCCGGCUAACUCCGUGCCAGCAGCCGCGGUAAUACGGAGGGGGUUAGCGUUGUUCGGAAUUACUGGGCGUAAAGCGCACGUAGGCGGAUUAGUAAGUUAGAGGUGAAAUCCCAGGGCUCAACCCUGGAACUGCCUUUAAUACUGCUAGUCUUGAGUUCGAGAGAGGUAAGUGGAAUUCCGAGUGUAGAGGUGAAAUUCGUAGAUAUUCGGAGGAACACCAGUGGCGAAGGCGGCUUACUGGCUCGAUACUGACGAUGAGGUGCGAAAGUGUGGGGAGCAAACAGGAUUAGAUACCCUGGUAGUCCACACCGUAAACGAUGAAUGCCAGACGUCAGCAAGUAUACUUGUUGGUGUCACACCUAACGGAUUAAGCAUUCCGCCUGGGGAGUACGGUCGCAAGAUUA